rnacentral:rRNA from 1 species
CCUACGGGAGGCAGCAGUAGGGAAUAUUGCGCAAUGGGGGAAACCCUGAAGCAGCAACGCCGCGUGAGUGAUGAAGGUUUUCGGAUCGUAAACUCCUUUUGUUAGAGAAGAUAAUGACGGUAUCUAACGAAUAAGCACCGGCUAACUCCGUGCCAGCAGCCGCGGUAACACGGAGGGUGCAAGCGUUACUCGGAAUCACUGGGCGUAAAGAGCGCGUAGGCGGGUUAGCAAGUCUGAUGUGAAAUCCUAUGGCUUAACCAUAGAACUGCAUUUGAAACUGGUAUACUAGAGUAGAGGAGAGGUAGGUGGAAUUCUUGGUGUAGGGGUAAAAUCCGUAGAGAUAAAGAGGAAUACUAAUUGCGAAGGCGACCUGCUAGAACAUAACUGACGCUGAUGUGCGAAAGCGUGGGGAGCAAACAGGAUUAGAUACCCCAGUAGUC